AUACCUCCUCUACUUCAAACAGUGCCUCUGGGGCUAAUUUCGUCUACUGUGGGGGCUGCUAGCAACCACUUUCAGCAGACUGGCUUACAGAACCAUGUGGUGGGGAGCCAACAUCCUUGGAAACUUCCUGUUCACCUUGGUAAUGUGUGUCCCCCAGAAAACUCUUGACUACCCAAUGCCUUCCUGUGGAAGACUGUUUGCUGACAACAUGUUCCCAAGGACAUUCUAGAUCAGUCUGAAAUUUACACUGUCUGUUCUGACUCAGAUCCCACUACCCUACGAAUUCCCUCCAAGCAGGACGGCCAGCAGCUUAUACCUGAGAGUGUUGACUGCCACCCCUGUCCCGAGACAAGGGGCGUUGGCUAGAAAACCAGAAAUGAAAUAUCUGGGAAAUCAGACAUUGUGCGAAAAACAACAGGUUUUUAGAAUGUUUGAUUUCCUAUUCAACUGUGCACAGCUGCCAUGCAGAAAAUAGGAUGGGUGCCAAGCUCGGGAACUGAUGGAGAGGGUCGGAGAGAGCGCAGACAAAGGAUUGACAGUGCUGGUUGCACGCAGAACAUGUUAACUUGACUUUCAAAACUCAGCCGCUCCGGCCGGUCACCGACGGUUGCAGAGACGCCAUGGGCUGGCAGCUCCAUUUGUCUGUUGAACUGCUGCCUCUCUCUGCUGUUGACUUCUUUGUCUUCAUUAAAGAGAUUUAAGAGACUUCGCCGCCUCCAAGUGCAAGACCGUACUCUGCUCUAACAACCAUUGCUUGCUUUCUUUCCUAUUUUCUCCAUUAGGUAACCAAGUGCCCACAGGUUGACUUCAGUUUUUUUUUCCUUUUUCUUUUUUUUUUCUUUUUUUUUCCUUUUUCUUUUAAUUGAGGUAAAAUUCACAUAAUACAGAACUGGCAUUUUAAGGUGUACAGUUCAGUGCUAUUUGGGACAUUUGUAGUGUGAAGACAUAACCCUGAUCUACUUCUAAGACACUUUCAUGAAUACCCACAGCUACUAGGCGAUCUGUUUGCAUUCCAUCACUCUCCUGGAAAUGACUAUUUUUUCCCUCUGCUUGGAUUUACCUGUUUUGAGCAUUUCCUAGAAAUGAGAUCCUACAAGAGGCAUUUGCCCUAAUCCUGGACACAAUGAUCUGCUGGCUUCAACUCCGAUACCCACCUCAGAGAUGCAGCACUUCCCAUGAUACAGCAAAGACCUGGGUCCUGGGCUUCAUCUGCUGAGGCUCCUUGUGAGCAAAGGUAUAGACUGGUCUCCAAGGAGGAAGCUGUGCACCUAGGAUGAAGCAUGCCCUUGUUUAUGAGUUCCUUGGAGCAGGACAAUGAGCUAAAGCUGCAGAGCAGACACGUGGUGAGUCUUGCACUCAUUAACCCAGAUGGAGGUCACAGCUCCAUGCUGGCAGCUGCUUGGAAACAACAACUUGUCAAAACUUCAGGCUGGAGCGCAGGGUUCCAGCUCAUUGGAACCCAAUUCCUAGAUGAGCCCGGGCAGAAGAGGAAGAUGUGCUUGACUAGCCCCAGAUAGGCCCAGCAGAUGUUGUGCGGGCCUCCUCACUGCUGAGCUCAAGUGCAGCCUGGGCUCAUCACCCAAACAGGGCCCCUGGGAGCACACUGAUGAGGCUCUCACAGUGCCAGGAGCACCUCCAGCGCAUGGCUCUACCCCCUCCCUCUGGGCUGGCCUGGCCUCUUGCCAGUUCCUUUGGAAGGGAGGGGUGGGGACAGGCAGGCAGUCUCACAUGGACGACUCUUGCAAAAGACCCAGCUAUGCUUCUGUAUGAUAUCGCUUUGUCACAACCUCUGGAGACUCCAGUGGGGCUGGAUUGGAGACAAGAUGGAAGUUGGGUGUUUAGGGACAACCAAGGUGCUGCUUCUGUGCUACUCUUCCUCAGGGGAGGGAGGGAGAGCUGAGCUGUGCAAUGCAAACAGGUCUCAGAGCUGCUCUGCCUACUGUAGCUGAGAGAAUUCUCCCAGUCUCCCUCAGGCCAAACAACUGCCUGCCUCAGAACCCAAACACAUUCCAGAAAGAAAUGAGGAGUUUGCGUGCCUGGUUAGUGUGUGUGUGUGUGUGUGUGUGUGUGUGUGUGUGUGUGUGUGUGUGUGGUUGUGUGUGUAUGUACACAAAACUUGGCAUAAUCUCCUGCCAAUGUUCUCUAUGAGUUUGUGUGCAUGCAUACAUUUCCUGUGUGUGUAAAUAGUGAGAGUGUAUGUACACUCUACAAUGUUUGAAUGUGUAUGUCUAGUAAGUGUGUUGGAAAGUCUAUACAGUUCAGUGUUCCAUAUGUAACCAUGGACAAUGAGUGUAGUGUGUGUUUUCUUUAUUCACCUUUAUUCUUAGCACUAUGGGUGUGUGCUGCAUGAAUAUAUGUGUUUGCAUACACAUGGUAAACAUGCAUAUUGCAUAUACAGGUUUACAAAGCUUCUCUCUAUGUGUAUGUGUAUGUUGGCCACAUGGUUAGUGAUGUAUUGUUUCUACAUGUAUGUGUUCAGGCCUCUACCUGUGUACUUGGAUUAUGAAUGUAUGUAUUUAUGACUGUAGGUCCAAAACCUAUCUGUCAUCCUCAUGGUAUGUAAUCAGUGCACAUGUCCCAGGAAUAUGUAGUUUCUGUGUGUGUCCCAGUUGUGCAUCAUCUUGUUGAGUGAAUGGGGGAGAAUCUCAGAAUGAACUAAUGAGUGUGUCUGUGCUGACCAUUUGGGGCAUCCUCAGCCCCAGUUCCUGCAGGUCCUUCCCUAUAACCAUUGUUCCACUUCAUCUGACCCCAUGAAACUGCUUAUAGAUCCCAAAUGAGCCAGUUUGACUCGUGCCUCUGGAUUUUACACAUCAUUCCCUCUACUAGAAUGCCUCUGCCUCA